GGCAGAGCGCUGGCGGCGGGGGCAAGCAGUCGCAUCGUGACCGCGCGUCGCAUUGCAUGUGCGUUCGGUUUCCGCGCGCCGAUUUCGCCGCGAACACGGCCGAAUACGAACCACCAGCCAUGGUGUCCGUGGGCGCGUGGAGACGCCACGUGCCCGACGACUGCGAAGAACGCUCAGAGCCUGGCGCUUCCAGCUCGGGUGUGCCGCGUGCGCCUCCCAACUGUGCCCGUUGUCGUAACCACCGGCUCAAGAUCGAGCUGAAGGGUCACAAACGCUAUUGCAAAUACCGCUACUGCACUUGCGAGAAGUGCCGCCUCACCGCCGACCGGCAGCGCGUCAUGGCAAUGCAGACCGCAAUGAGACGAGCCCAGGCGCAGGACGAAGCGCGCGCGCGGGCCAUCGAGUCCGGCAUACAGCCGCCCGGCCUGGAGCUGGACCGGCCAGAGCCGCCGAUCGUGAAGGCGCCGCGCAGUCCGGCGGUGCCGCCGCAGCCACCGCCGCGCUCCUUGGACUCGCCCAGCUGCGACUCGGUGCCGGACUCCCCCGGCGUGUCACCGUACGCGCCGCCGCCGCCCUCAGCACCGCCGCAGCCAGCGAUUCCGCCGCUCAUGCCGCCUCAGCAACCUGCAGUCUCGCUAGAGUCGCUCGUCGAGAACUGUCAUAAACUCCUGGAGAAGUUCGGCUACGCGUGGGAGAUGAUGCCCCUCGUCCUGGUCAUCCUCAACUACGCGGGCAGCGACCUAGACGAGGCCUCCAGGAAGAUUAACGAAGGGAAGACGAUCAUCAACGAGUACGCGAGGAAACACAAUCUCAACGUGUUCGACGGGACCGAGUUCAGGGACUCAACACGCCAGAAAAUGCUGGAAAUUAAUAAUAUAAGUGGUGUACUGUCAUCGUCGAUGAAGUUGUUUUGCGAAUGAUACUUUGUUUUACAAGUGCUGUGGUUUGUGUGGACACGUGCUGUGCGCUGCUGUGUGUUGCGAAUUGUUACUCGUACAAAGGACAAUGAUAUUGUUAACGCGUUGGACCACUAGCUCACUGGGUAGUGCACCAAUGGAGGCUGUACGAGCGAUCGCUGUGCUCGCUGCUGGAGCUGCAGGCGCGCAAGGGCUCGUAUUCCAUGUGCUGCUCGCCGCGGUACGUGCUCG
rnacentral:misc_RNA from 1 species